rnacentral:tRNA from 1 species
GGGAAGGUGGCUCAGUGGUAGAGCACUUGCCUUGCAUGCAUGAGGCCCUGGGUUCUAUUCCUCAUCCUC